rnacentral:rRNA from 1 species
UUCCUUUUAAAAAAAAUAUAAGGUAUAACCUGCUCAAUGAGUUUUAAAUAGCCGCGAUAAUUUCGUGCUAAGGUAGCAUAAUAAUUUGUCUUUUAAUUAAAGUCUUGAAUGAAUGGUUGAACGAAAGAUAAACUUUUUUAAUCAAAGUUUAGAAAACUUUAAUUUUUAGUUAAAAUGCUAAAAUAUUUUUAUGGGACGAUAAGACCCUAUAGAAUUUUAUUCUAAUUUAUUUUUAAAAUAAAUUUGUUUAUAUUUUUUAAAUUUAAAUUAGAAUUUAAUUGGGGAGAUUAUCAUAAUUUAAUAACUAUGAUUUAUAAUUUUUCAUAAAUUAAUGAUUUUUUGAUCCUAAUUUUUAGAUUAUAAGAAUAAAUUACCUUAGGGAUAACAGCGUUAUUUUCUUGGAGAGUACAUAUUAAUAAGAAAGUUUGCGA